GACGAACGCUGGCGGCGUGCCUAAUACAUGCAAGUCGAACGAACCGCGACUGAGUGCUUGCACUUGGUCAAGGUGAGUGGCGAACGGGUGAGUAACACGUGGGUAACCUACCUCAUAGUGGGGGAUAACAGUCGGAAACGACUGCUAAUACCGCAUAGGACAUAGGAUCACAUGAUCCAGUGAGGAAAGGUGGCGCAAGCUAUCGCUAAGAGAUGGACCCGCGGUGCAUUAGCUAGUUGGUAGGGUAAAGGCCUACCAAGGCGAUGAUGCAUAGCCGACCUGAGAGGGUGAUCGGCCACAUUGGGACUGAGACACGGCCCAAACUCCUACGGGAGGCAGCAGUAGGGAAUCUUCCGCAAUGGACGCAAGUCUGACGGAGCAACGCCGCGUGAGUGAAGAAGGUCCUCGGAUCGUAAAGCUCUGUUGUUAGAGAAGAACAGCGCAUAGAGUAACUGCUAUGCGUGUGACGGUAUCUAACCAGAAAGCCACGGCUAACUACGUG
rnacentral:rRNA from 1 species